UAAGUAAUUCAUGUUCUCAAAAUCAUUAUUACUUAGUUAUAGGUCUACGAAACACAUGCAUACAUAAGAACAUUUCAAAUAAUUAUAUCUCACAGGCAAGUCAUAAGCCACAUCACAAGUGCUUGAAUAUUUAUAGAUCCCAAGCAAUAAAACAAAAGAGCUUGAGGUCCUUGGACCACUUACAACAAUCCCAUAUUCGCACCUCUUUUUUAGUUUCUAGACUUCAUGGCUUUAAUCGCCCUUAUGAAAUGUGUCAGUAUGAAGCAACUAAUAUCCAGUUGCAAACAACAAAAGGGUUCCAUCAAUAA